rnacentral:rRNA from 1 species
AUGGACUCACAGCACUCAAGUCUUUGGUGUCGCUCUCAUGCUACUACUUGUUCAUCUCCACCACACAGACCAUUGGUGCUCACCCUGACUUCUGAUUUCAUUCAGAACCAUAGAAUUGCUAUCACAUCCAAACAGAAGCAAGAGGAUUUUAUCAUGGCGGAGCUCAUCAUCUCGGCGGUUGUCGGGGACAUGGUCGGUAGGGUGAUAUCUCUUCUCGCUGGCCGGUUCAAAGGCCAAGGGUGCACCGACGCCAAGCUACGGAGGAUUUGCCAUAUGCUUGUCAAGGUUCACAGUGCGGUAGAGGAGGCCAAAGGGAGGCAGAUCACAAACUGCGGCACCCUCGAGUGGCUUUCGGAGCUCAACGACGGGGUGUACCAGGGCCGCUACUUGCUCGACACGGUCAGAUGCAAAGAACAGGAGCUUGAAGAUAAGCAUGAUGACAAGGUAGUUGGACAAACUUUCUCUUUCUCCUUGUAUAAUCCUGCAAAGCGUGUGCGCGUAGCGGCAUGUGCCGUGAAGAGCCUACUGUCUCGCCAUGAUGUCGUUGGUCCUGAGGAGAUUGACAGAGUGGUGGAGAUCUUGGAAACCAUAUCCGGUGAUCUCAAGGAGUUCAUGAUGCUCCUACAGAACUGCCAGCCAAUCCAUCGUCCUUUGGCUACUAAUAUCUUCAUUGAGGGGCAGAUGUUCGGCCGACAUGUCGAGAAACAGAGGAUCAUCAACUUCCUGCUGCAUGAUGGUGGUGUGUCUACUGGAAAACUAGGCAUGCUUCCAAUUGUUGGCAGCACGGGAGUCGGGAAGACCACCCUUGCGCAGCAUGUCUGCGAUGAUGAGAGGGUGCGCAACCACUUUCCAAUAAUCUUGUAUUCCAAUUUCUCAUACACCAGAGCAAUGGCUCGGGGUGAGGCGGUGUUUGUUCUAGGAUCCAAAAAUGCAGUUAGAGAUGCUAAAAAAUUCAUGGAAAUACUGCAUGUACUCAAGGAGAAAUACCUCAGCAAGAGGUUCUUGAUGGUAUUUGAAGAUGUUGACAUGGGCAAGAAACAGAUGCUACAAGAGUUACUGCCAAUCUUGAGACAUGGCAAAUUCGGGAGCAGGAUCAUAAUCACCACAAACAACAGGGAUGUCGCCAGCUUGGGAACGGUGCAGCCAAUCAAUCUGAAGGUUAUGCCUCAUCAGGAGUACUGGUUCUUCUUCAAGGCACACGCGUUUGCUGGCAGAGAUGUCGAGGAGGACCCAAGGAUGUUAGCAGCAGGUAACGCGAUUGCAAGGAAGCUAAAUGGGUCAUUCUUCGGAGCGAAAAUCGUCGGCGGGGUGCUGAAAGCUCAUCCGAAUCCCCGGUUCUGGUGCAAGAUGCUGGGAAGCAAUAUAGGGGGGUUGUCUCUGUUGGGUGAUGGAAUUGGGUACAUUGCAGAUUUGGCAGAGAAUUUGCUGCCAAACUACGCAAACAUAUGUGAGGUGACCAUUUCUAAGACUCCAUAUCCCUCUCAGACAGAACUGGCUGGGUUGGUAUAUCAGGCAAGUCCUAGUGCUAGUGUUGUUGCCCCGCGUGGUGAUAUCGGGUUUGCAAAAGUCUUGUUGUGCAGAAAGUUGGAAUUGAUAGAAAGGCUGGCGUACCAGAUAACUUGCGAACAUCACAAAGUUGCUAGAGGAAUUUAUCAUGGCGGAGGUCAUCUUCUCAGCGGUUGUCGGAGACAUGGUCGGCAGGAUGAUAUCUCUUCUUGCCGGCCAGUUCAAGGGCCAACAGUGCACUGA